UGGGGAAUUUUGGACAAUGGGGGAAACCCUGAUCCAGCCAUCCCGCGUGUGCGAUGAAGGCCUUCGGGUUGUAAAGCACUUUUGGCAGGAAAGAAACGUCGCGGGUUAAUACCCCGCGAAACUGACGGUACCUGCAGAAUAAGCACCGGCUAACUACGUGCCAGCAGCCGCGGUAAUACGUAGGGUGCAAGCGUUAAUCGGAAUUACUGGGCGUAAAGCGUGCGCAGGCGGUUCGGAAAGAAAGAUGUGAAAUCCCAGAGCUUAACUUUGGAACUGCAUUUUUAACUACCGGGCUAGAGUGUGUCAGAGGGAGGUGGAAUUCCGCGUGUAGCAGUGAAAUGCGUAGAUAUGUGGAGGAACACCGAUGGCGAAGGCAGCCUCCUGGGAUAACACUGACGCUCAUGCACGAAAGCGUGGGGAGCAAACAGGAUUAGAUACCCUGGUAGUCCACGCCCUAAACGAUGUCAACUAGCUGUUGGGGCCUUCGGGCCUUGGUAGCGCAGCUAACGCGUGAAGUUGACCGCCUGGGGAGUACGGUCGCAAGAUUAAAACUCAAAUGAA
rnacentral:rRNA from 1 species